UGCGUAGGUGGUUGAAUAAGUUAGGUGUGAAAGCCCCGGGCUUAACCUGGGAAUUGCGCCUAAUACUGUUUAGCUAGAGUACUGUAGAGGAAGGUGGAAUUUCCGGUGUAGCGGUGAAAUGCGUAGAUAUCGGAAGGAACAUCAGUGGCGAAGGCGACUUUCUGGACAGAUACUGACACUGAGGCACGAAAGCAUGGGUAGCAAACA
rnacentral:rRNA from 1 species